rnacentral:rRNA from 1 species
UACAGAGGGGGCAAGCGUUAUUCGGAAUUAUUGGGCGUAAAGGGCGCAUAGGCGGCUUUGCAAGUGGCGGGUGAAAUCCCUCGGCUUAACCGAGGAACUGCCUGUCAAACUGCAUGGCUUGAGACCAGGAGAGGUGAGUGGAAUUCCCAGUGUAGCGGUGAAAUGCGUAGAUAUUGGGAGGAACACCAGUGGCGAAGGCGGCUCACUGGACUGGUACUGACGCUGAUGCGCGAAAGCGUGGGGAGCAAACAGG